rnacentral:rRNA from 1 species
UAUUUUGGGUUAGCAGUGGCGUAAGGGUGCUUAACACGUGGGUAAUCUGCCGCGAAGUGUGGGAUAACUCGCUGAAAGGCGAGCUAAUACCGCAUGUGAUUUUCUUGAGGCAUCUCAGGGAAUUCAAACAUGGGUCGCAAGACCUGUGGUUUCGCGAUGAGCCCGCGGCCUAUCAGCUAGUUGGCGGGGUAAAAGCCCACCAAGGCUAAGACGGGUAGCUGGUCUGAGAGGACGACCAGCCACACUGGAACUGAGACACGGUCCAGACACCUACGGGUGGCAGCAGUCGAGAAUUUUUCACAAUGGGGGAAACCCUGAUGGAGCGACGCCGCGUGGGGGAUGAAGGGCUUCGGUUCGUAAACCCCUGUCAUUGGCGAACAAGUGUUACGUUCUAAUACAGCGUGACUUGAUAGUAGCCGAAGAGGAAGGGACGGCUAACUCUGUGCCAGCAGCCGCGGUAAUACAGAGGUCCCGAGCGUUGUUCGGAUUCACUGGG